GGCUCCUCCUCCGGCUCCGGCUCCGGUUCCCGCUACCUCGACCCAAACCGCGUCUUCGAGCUCGUCGCCCGCCGCAUGGCGCGCGAGCUCCUUGACUACUUGGAUUUGAUACCCGGAGGAUCCCAAGACCUCAACUUCCACCGGAUCAAACUUGUGGCGAGGGCCCUCCUCCCUUUCGUGUCGAAGCCGAGAUUGCCGUCACCCGAAGAGGACAUGUGGAUCCUGUGUUGGGCGCAACUCGCGCUGUUUCACGCGGUAAAUAGCAGAUUUUGUGAUCCUCAGAUGGUGGUUGGUAAUCCAUCCAAAAUUACUUCAGAUGCAGAUUAACAUGCGGAUUUCCCCUGUUCUUAUGAGUUUAUGAAUCAACACAUAGAUGGCCUUUUCUUAUUGCCAUUUUAUCAAGAUUACCUUCACACUAUUGAACCUUGUGAAUGUAUGGCUGUACAUAUAUGAUUAAGAUUAUUGUCACAAGGAUUUUGUGUACAACCAUGUUUAUCCAAGAUUAAACAUACGAGUGUCGGUUACAUCAUCUUUCAGGUAAUUCAGUUAUUCUUAAACUCCUAUCAACUACUACUCACUACUGUGAGUCUUCCUGGAAUAGGAUAAACGUUUGACACAGCUUGUCAUAUUCUGCUUCAUUCACCAAGUAUUGUGCAGUCAAUAUACACUGAUGGUAGAUAUACACUUCUUGACAAGGUUUCUGUGUACUGUUCUUCAUCAUGUAUCUAAUAUUACUUUUGUGGGCAAUCACAAAUAGAUCCAGGUGAAUGGAUUUUUAUAUAUAGUGGAUAAUCUGUGCCGUUCUUUUGCAAGUCAUUACAUGUAUCCACACAAUUCAAGUUCAUAUUCUGGAAGGAUGUUGACCCACGAACCUGAUAGUAUUGAGCUCAGACAUGCUGCUGUGCGUAAUCAAUUAUCAGCUUCUGACUUAAGCAUUCAUGCUGCAACGUUUCUUCCACCGAGGACAAGCUCAACUGAUGUGAUCAGUUUUCCUACCAGACGUGCUAGAAUGCUUGAUGAAACAUCUGCUUCUAACUCAAGAA